rnacentral:rRNA from 1 species
GAUGAACGCUGGCGGCGUGCCUAAUACAUGCAAGUCGAGCGAACGGACGAGAAGCUUGCUUCUCUGAUGUUAGCGGCGGACGGGUGAGUAACACGUGGAUAACCUACCUAUAAGACUGGGAUAACUUCGGGAAACCGGAGCUAAUACCGGGUAAUAUUUUGAACCGCAUGGUUCAAAAGUGAAAGACGGUCUUGCUGUCACUUAUAGAUGGAUCCGCGCUGCAUUAGCUAGUUGGUAAGGUAACGGCUUACCAAGGCAACGAUGCAUAGCCGACCUGAGAGGGUGAUCGGCCACACUGGAACUGAGACACGGUCCAGACUCCUACGGGAGGCAGCAGUAGGGAAUCUUCCGCAAUGGGCGAAAGCCUGACGGAGCAACGCCGCGUGAGUGAUGAAGGUCUUCGGAUCGUAAAACUCUGUUAUUAGGGAAGAACAUAUGUGUAAGUAACUGUGCACAUCUUGACGGUACCUAAUCAGAAAGCCACGGCUAACUACGU